GGGGAAAAACACUCCUACUGAGUAACAAUG
rnacentral:piRNA from 1 species